rnacentral:rRNA from 1 species
AUUGCAGAUAUUCGUGAAUCAUCGAAUCUCUGAACACACAUUGCGCCCUCUGGUAUUCCGGAGGGCAUGCCUGUUUGAGCGUCGUU